AUGUUGUUUGGAAAGCGCCUCCAGAGGCUUUUUGCAAAGUUAACUGUUGAUGGUGCGGUGUCUAGGAAUGGUGGCAAGGGAGCUGUGGGAGUCAUGUGCCGCAACGAUCAAGGCAAGUUCAUGGGCUUGUCAUCGAUACCAUUCAAGAACAUCACAAAUCCUACGGUUAUGGAUGUCCUGGCAUGUCAAGAAGUUUUGGCAUUGGCUGAUGAUUUGAUGUUGCACGAGCUAUUCAUUGCAUUAGACAGUUUGGAAGUAAUCAAAGACAUCUAA
rnacentral:rRNA from 1 species